GACAGAGGGUGCAAACGUUGUUCGGAAUUACUGGGCGUAAAGCGCGUGUAGGCGGCAUAUAAGUCGGGCGUGAAAUCCCACGGCUCAACCUGGAAGUGCACUCGAAACUGACUGAGCUAGACGUCGGGAGAGGAAGGUGGAAUGCUUGGUGUAGAGGUGAAAUUCGUAGAUAUCAAGCGGAACACCGGUGGCGAAGGCGGCCUUCUGGACAGUGACUGACGCUGAGACGCGAAAAGCGUGGGGAGCAAACAGG
rnacentral:rRNA from 1 species